CCUGGCUCUCUUCCUGCUCUCAAAAUCCUACCAUGACCCGAUGAAACCACUUGACCACUUAUCUUUUACUAAGCUUCUAGGGAAAACUCUACCAGCCCUAUGCCAGGACCUGGAAAAAGCUGAACACAUGGGCAUCUUCUGACUUUCCUGGGAGCCCAGGAGGAGCAUUUACUCCCAGCUGACAAGCCAGCUUCAGUCCUGCAGAGAGCUGUGUGCAGCCGGUAAGAACUCUGCCACUCAAGGUGUGAAAUGAACUGUCCUCAGACUGAUGGAAAGGCUGAACGUAAAGUCCAUGUUUAGGCUCCUGGGCCCCUGGUUGUUUUUGUUUUUUGUUUUUUUGUUUUUUUUUUUUUUGGUUUUGGUUUUUGUUUUUAAAUCAGGCUGGCUUUUGCCUGAGAGACCUGCAAGAAAGCUGGUGACUGUGGCUAUUUUUCUUGCUUCCCAGUCACCAGAGGUGACCCCUCACAGCUGGGCCCCAUCGGGAAGGGCCUGGACCGGGUGGGAGAACUUCAGCUGAGGUCCAGCCAGACCUCAGAAUGGGAGGAGGGAGGGCUUGUCUCUGCUGGGGAAGGGGCUGUGGUACCAGGCUGGCUCCGGUGGCUUCCAGCAGACCUGUGAAGAGCUGCCGCUGAAGGGGGGUGGGGAGGGGAGGCAGGGGACGGGCAGCAAGACAGCCCUGAAAGCAGAGGAAACAUCCUAAAGAAGAGAUAAACAGAGAACAGCGACAGACUUCUCACUUUGGCAAAAGGCGCUUUGGUCUCCCUGUGAAACUUCACCCCUCUUCUUCCCCAGCUUCCCAUUUACAAAAUUAGUCCAGGCCCUGAGAGAUGGCCCCUGCUUUAAAGUCCUACUCUAAAGGCCUAUUGGUCCUGCUUUGUCUUGGCACCCUGGGAUGGAGGUCCUGACUUAAAUCCCAGCUGAGCUGUUGGGAGUGAGCCAGCUGACCCACUCCAGCGUCUGGGCCUAGCCAGAUCCUUACUAUUUUUAUGAUCUGCUAACAUUUAUUUUAUGCUCAUCAUGCCAGAGACAUCUUGCCCACCCCUCACUUCCUGAACCUUGGUCCACAGUAGCCCUUGCAAGUGGCUACUCUUUGUUCUAUCCACGUUAUAGAUGAGGAUACGAAGUCACAGAGAGGUCCGAGAUCCUACUGACAGUAAGGAACAAACUUUGAACCCAAACUUUUCCUUGAAUAAGAAGCGGGAGGAGGGGUGACGGUCAGGAAGAAAGGGGGUGACGUUUAAGAGCAUGAGGCUGUCUGCCCUAGAGAGAAACAAUCAACUCAGGUUUUCCGAGCAAUGCUCCAUGAGGCUGCAUUUCUGUCUGGCACCUCCGUGGCCAGCUGUCCCAAGAGGACGUCAUCAGUAGUAUAGCGUGUCUGUGGGAGACUGGAUCAUUAUAAAGCACAUAGGCCAUCUCCUCUGGUGACCAGCUCACAUUUGUCACUCGGCUAAGAGACAGGAGAGAGUUUUCCAACCAAGUAUUUUGUAAGCUCAAUUUUACGGCUGAAAAAAAGGCAAGACAGCUCAGGGACGGUUCGUGUGGUCCAGUAGGGACCCCAGCUCUCUGCUUAUGGGUGUGUUUGAGGAGGUAUGGGUGAAAGCCCAUGGUUUGAGUUUUAGUUCUUAUUUUGUAGCUUGUGUGGCUUUGAACACGUUGCUUCUUGAAGCCUCAGUUUCCCUGUCUGCAGAGUGAUAAUAAUCACUGUAGCCGCUGGCUCCUGGGAUUGUGGUGCAGUAUCUGUCAGGCCGUAAAUGAUCAAUGAAUAGUAAUUACCAUCGGUAAAGGUUUAAAGAAGCAACUUAGGAAGAUAUGAGAUGGAGGCUGGUGGUUCCUCAGAAGGUCACCAACAUGCUCUGUGUGCACUGAGAAUUACAACAUUACAGGAGGAAAUGGGCAGAGUGAAGCUGGGCUUCCCUCCGUAGGAACAUUUCUGAUGAACUAAUAGGCCACAGAGAUGGAUCUUCAUGAGUUGCUAUAACCUGUAAGAGCUGUUGAAAGUGAUUGCUUAUCCAAGUCUGGGUGCUUAUACCCCACUGAAAAAA